UACGUAGGGUGCGAGCGUUGUCCGGAAUUAUUGGGCGUAAAGAGCUCGUAGGCGGUUUGUCGCGUCUGCUGUGAAAACCUAAGGCUCAACCUUGGGCUUGCAGUGGGUACGAGCAGACUAGAGUGCGGUAGGGGUGACUGGAAUUCCUGGUGUAGCGGUGGAAUGCGCAGAUAUCAGGAGGAACACCGAUGGCGAAGGCAGGUCACUGGGCCGCAACUGACGCUGGAGGAGCGAAAGCAUGGGGAGCGAACAGG
rnacentral:rRNA from 1 species